UUAAUGUUUUUUCUGCAUGCGCAUGCGUUCGUGGUUACAUGCGCGUGCGCGUGCGCGUGAGAGAGAGAGAUCGAGAAAGAGAGAGAGAGAGAGAUGGUCGCUUAAUAGUGUCAACUGCACAAACAACAUGCACCAAAUCAAGGAAAGUUGAGGUGCACAAGGUACAUUGUUAGCCAUUUUGAAUCUGUGGAUAAUAGCUCUGCUUGUACAAGAGGACCAUCUUAAGCCUGUAGCUGUGGGAAAAAUUAAUCCGCACGCAGUGAUUCUUGGGCCGCGUGGCUUUUGGAAAAUAAAGGUAGGCUGCCCAUAUCCGCGGUGCCAGCUCCCUUUAGCCUCCGAGCGCGGAUGCGUCCACAAAAAUAUCCUAAAUGCCCCAAAAAAAUACCACUAUAUAUACCCCUCAA
rnacentral:lncRNA from 1 species